GCCUCUAUAAAUUUAAUGAGUAAUUAUUUAGAUCACUCAUUAAAUACUAUGGGCUUUUGAGAAUUAAUGGGCAAUUAUUUUGGACAGCCCAUUAUUCUAUUUCGGGCAUUUGAUAUUUGUUGUCAGUUAGCCCACGAGCAAGGAGUCCACGAAAAGCUUUGGUCCAGCAGUUGAUUGAAGCAACCUGAAAGCUAUCACAAUUGGUACAGAACCUUUGCAAGCAAAAGGAGAAAACUGCCGCAAGCUAUGAAGGAGUACUAGCCCCUUUUUAUAUUUUGUUUCUGUACUUAUUUUUCUUUUAGCUGACAUCUUUCCUUUCUUCUUUGAUGUCCUAUUAGUCUUCAACCUUUUAGUCAAACAAAGUGGCGUACAACCACUUCACUUUUCUUUUCUUUCUUUUUUUAUGGCAUCUUUUUUUCUUCUUUGUUUUUUUUGCUUUUUGCUCCUAUAAACGUGGCUGUCCCUUUUCUUCAUUGUUUUUGUUUGUUGUAGCCAAUUUUUUUGUUUUGUUGGUGCACAGACGAAAGCCUCCUUACACAUGGCUUUUCUUAUUUUUAAGGCUUUUUAUCACAAAUGGUCCUUCACGUUUACGAAAUUAUCACGAAUGGUCCUUGAGGUUUUUUUGUGACACUAAUAAUCCUUAACGUUUGGACUUUUUAUCACAAAUGGUCCCUACCGUCAUAAAUUCUGUUAAGUGUCUGAGGCGGAAAAUAAGUGGAACCCACAUGUCCAAUCACAUCGUGACAUGUGGAUUAAAUAAUAAAUAAAUAUUUUUUUUUUAUGAAAAUCCAUUAAAAAACCAUUUAGCCUCUCUCUCUCUCUCCCCGUCUCUCUCUCUUUUCCUCUGCCCUCUCUCCUCCCUGUGCUUUCCCUCUCCCUCUGUUUUUUUGUUGCCUCUACAACCCAACCACCCCAUGCCCACCCGCUUCACUCAAGCUAUUAGGUUUUGGUCUGCAGCAUUCUUAUGUUGUGUAUCCACCUGAAGCGCUGAGACCUCCGUCACCAGAGGAAAUGAGAGAGAUGGCGCGAGAAGUAGCUAGGAAAAAAAUGCCCGUCGAUGCUUUGUUUGGGGUUCUUUUCUUUUGUAACUUGUAAGUGCCUGCUAUAGAGAAAACAAAAAAAUUCUGUGUUUUGCAUUUAGAUUUCAGUCGAAAUAAUGGUGAGGCCAAGUGGGUUUUAUUUCAAGUUCAAGUGUGGCCUUGUAAUAUUCCACAAUCCUACUUAAAUUUUCAAAUCUACUUUGCCCAUUUCAUGCUGUGUGUGGAGGACGAAGGAGCUUUUGUGACUCAGGAUGUAAAUUAUAUGUUGUGAUAAACCUGGAUGGAUUUGAAAGUGACCAAACAUCUACAAUAUUCCUCAUGUACUGUUGAACUUUCAUUUUCGUGUUCUUUGUGGAGUUGGAAUCUACUUGAAAGUGAGUUCUUUUUGGUUUGCUUUUUUGGGUUGUGCUUGAGCGAAGCUGGAAGGUUGAAUAUCUUGAAGGUUUAAUAAAAAAACAGAGGAGGAGAGCAAAAACAAAGGGAGAUGGUAGGGGAGUUGGGCAUGGGUUGCGGGUUGCGAGAAGAGACGGAGAGCAACUAUAUAUCUUAUAUUUUUUUUUCUUGCAGGUGGCAGAGGGAAAAAAAAAAUAGAGAGAGAAGAGAUGGAGAGCAAAGGGUGGAGAGCAGGGGCAGAUGAGGAGAGAGACGGAGCAAGGAAGGAGAUGAAAAGUUGCAGACAAAUAAAUGGAAUUUUCAUUAAAAAUUUAUUUAAUUAUUUUUUAUCCACAUGUCACAAUGUGAUUGGACAUGUGGGCUCCACUUAUCUUCCACAUCACACUUAACAGAAUUU
rnacentral:lncRNA from 1 species